AUUGAACGCUGGCGGCAUGCCUAACACAUGCAAGUCGAACGGCAGCAUGAUGUGUAGCAAUACACAUUGAUGGCGAGUGGCGGACGGGUGCGUAAUACGUAGGAAUCUUCCUCAAAGCGGGGGAUAACCCGGGGAAACUCGGGAUAAUACCGCAUAAUCUCUAUGGAGCAAAGCCAGGGACCGUAAGGCCUGGCACUUUGAGAUGAGCCUACGUCGGAUUAGCUAGUUGGUAGGGUAAAGGCCUACCAAGGCAAUGAUCCGUAGCUGGUCUGAGAGGACGGCCAGCCACACUGGGACUGAGACACGGCCCAGACUCCUACGGGAGGCAGCAGUGGGGAAUUUUGGACAAUGGGGGCAACCCUGAUCCAGCAAUGCCGCGUGUGUGAAGAAGGCCUUCGGGUUGUAAAGCACUUUUAGUGGGGAAGAAAAGCGUAGGAUUAAUAAUCCUGCGUCUUGACGUUACCUACAGAAAAAGCACCGGCUAACUCUGUGCCAGCCGCCGCGGUAA
rnacentral:rRNA from 1 species